CAGCAGCCGCGGUAAUACGGAGGAUCCGAGCGUUAUCCGGAUUUAUUGGGUUUAAAGGGUGCGUAGGCGGGUUGAUAAGUCAGUGGUGAAAGGUUUGCGCUCAACGUAGACAUUGCCAUUGAAACUGUCAGUCUUGAGUACAAAUGAGGUAGGCGGAAUGUGUUGUGUAGCGGUGAAAUGCAUAGAUAUGACACAGAACACCAAUUGCGAAGGCAGCUUACUGGGAUGUAACUGACGCUGAGGCACGAAAGCGUGGGGAUCAAACAGGAUUAGAUACCCUGGUAGUCCACGCAGUAAACGAUGAUUACUAGCUGUUAGCGAUAGAAUGUUAGUGGCUAAGCGAAAGCGAUAAGUAAUCCACCUGGGGAGUACGACCGCAAGGUUGAAACUCAAAGGAAUUGACGGGGGCCCGCACAAGCGGAGGAACAUGUGGUUUAAUUCGAUGAUACGCGAGGAACCUUACCCGGGCUUGAUAUGCAGAGGAAUGACGAGGAAACUUGUCCGCCAGCAAUGGUCUCUGUGUAGGUGCUGCAUGGUUGUCGUCAGCUCGUGCCGUGAGGUGUCGGCUUAAGUGCCAUAACGAGCGCAACCCUUAUUGAUAGUUACUAACAGGUUAAGCUGAGGACUCUAUUGAGACUGCCACCGUAAGGUGAGAGGAAGGUGGGGAUGACGUCAAAUCAGCACGGCCCUUACGUCCGGGGCGACACACGUGUUACAAUGGGGGGUACAGAGGGGAGCUACUUAGCGAUAAGAUGCGAAUCUCGAAAGCCUCUCGUAGUUCGGAUCGGAGUCUGCAACUCGACUCCGUGAAGCUGGAUUCGCUAGUAAUCGCGCAUCAGCCAUGGCGCGGUGAAUACGUUCCCGGGCCUUGUACACACCGCCCGUCAAGCCAUGGGAGUUGGGGGUGCCUA
rnacentral:rRNA from 1 species